GAUCCGUUGGUGAACCAGCGGAGGGAUCAUUACAGGACUCGCAAGACUCCUUCACCCUGUGAACCUCACUACAAGCACCUUGCUUCGGCGGGUGUCCCGGCGAGGGUGUUCCCUCGCCGGGGCCCACCGCCCGCCGGCAGGCCACUAUUCUCUGUCCCUUUUCCUUGGCAUCUCGAGAAAAAACAAACAAGUUAAAACCUUCAACAACGGAUCUCUUGGUUCUG
rnacentral:misc_RNA from 1 species